GACGAACGCUGGCGGCGUGCUUAACACAUGCAAGUCGAGCGGUAAGGCCCUUUCGGGGGUACACGAGCGGCGAACGGGUGAGUAACACGUGGGUGACCUGCCCUCAGCUCUGGGAUAAGCCUGGGAAACCGGGUCUAAUACUGGAUAUGACUCCAUGACGCAUGUUGUGGGGUGAAAGCCUUGUGCGGCUGAGGAUGGGCCCGCGGCCUAUCAGCUUGUUGGUGGGGUGANGGCCUACCAAGGCGACGACGGGUAGCCGGCCUGAGAGGGCGACCGGCCACACUGGGACUGAGACACGGCCCAGACUCCUACGGGAGGCAGCAGUGGGGAAUCUUGCGCAAUGGGCGAAAGCCUGACGCAGCGACGCCGCGUGAGGGAU
rnacentral:rRNA from 1 species